rnacentral:lncRNA from 1 species
UCUAAAUAUCAGAAUUUAAAUCUAAAUGUAGAUUUGUGUAGAUUUGUGCAUAUAUAUAUAUAUAUUGCAUAAUAAAUAAGCAAGGCUAUGCACAAAACUUCCAGUGCAAAAUAUUGCUGAGUGAAAUAUUGCUGAGUGACUUUUCCUUUCUCUUGUGGAAAUUGUGAGAAUUGACUAGGAAUAUGUGAGAAGAUGAAGGUUUAGCCGAGUUCACAGGCCAUGAAUCUGCAGUGAAGAGCAAGCGAAAGCAAGAUCCUGGAAGAUACUGGCAAGUGGCCGGAUCACAGAAUCCAGGUAGAGUUUAUAAUUGUUUGUAGUUGAGAAAAUUGGACUAGAAUGAAGCCUUGUGGAAUCCAAGAAGAAUUCGUUAUUCUUUAGCUGCUUUCAUCUCCAACUGUGUUAGGCAUCCUCCUAAGAUGGUCCCCAAGAUGGCAGACCCCUGGAAUCAUCUGUACAAUUUCCUCUCUUUUCACAGGCUUUUAUGAGUUGAUUUUUCAGCGAACCUUCAAGGGGCUAAGGGGAACAUUACCCUUGGCCACUAUACUGCCAACAACCUAUGAGCCUGGAAGAGGAUCCCAAGUCUCAGAUGAAACCAGGACCUCAGCCAACACCUUGAUUUCAGCCUCAUGAGAUCCUAAGCAGAGGGUACAGUAAAGCCACAUAUGGUGCCUAACCAAAAAAACUAUGAGAUAAUAAAGAUGUGUUUUGGAAGCUGCUAAACUGGUGUUGAUUUGUUACAUAGCAAUUAAAAACUAAUAUACAAACACUACGGUAUUUGUUUUCUUCAUUAAUUAAACAUAACGUAUCCUCACUUCUGUAUCCAUCAGUAAGGCAAGGUUCUGUGAUAAAGACCUGCCUGCAUUGUACGUCUGUAUGGUUCCUUUCCCUAUCCCAAAUCUUAGAUGCAUAUUUUGAUUGAUGAUGAUUGUCCUUGAUCUAAGAGAUGAUGUGAUAUCCUGCUACCCCAUUCUUCAACCCCCUCAGACACUGGGAUCAUUGUAGAAUGAUUCAUAACAUUCCCUGGGACCCCAACACAUGGUGUUCUAACGUUUCUCAGUCUACAAUACAGUAGUCCCUAAAUCACAUGACAACUUUUCCUAUUGUAGAAAAAGUGCACGCAGAGGCGAUGUGGUGGCUGAUCUGCGGCAGCAGAUGAGGUCCUGUAUUCUGCUCCUGCCCCACACUGACCAGAUGCCCAUUUAGACAAGGUUUCCCCUGCUUCCACUCAUAGACACAGUUAUCUCUCAGACUCAAGGUGGCCUCCAAGUCCUUAGCAUCCACUUCUUGUAGAAGCAGUGCCUUCCCCUUUGCAGGCCAGUGACUUUUUUUAGAUUCUCAAACACAAAGUGACUGAUCAUUCACCUUUUCCUUGGCCUGAUUGACUAUAGGAAUACCAGAAUGGUGGUGGAGAGGGGUAAGGAGUUGGUGUAAUGUUUCACACCUCAAAGGUAUUC